AAAAGAUGAAUUUGACUUGGUGGUGAAUGCAGGCUUUGAAAAUGAAUUUUAUCUUUUGAAGAGUAUAUUGAGGAAUGGCAAAGAAGAAUGGACACCAUUUGACAGGACUUCUUACUGUUCUACAUCAUCAUUUGAUGCCGCAUCCCCGAUACUUGAAGAGGUUUUCGCUUCUCUUCAAUCAUUGAAUAUUGCAGUCGAACAACUACAUGCAGAAGCUGGGAAAGGUCAGUUUGAAAUUGCUCUAAAAUACACAGAUUGUUUUAGAGCAGCUGACAGCUUAAUUUUCGCACGUGAAGUCAUCAAAGCAGUUGCAAGGAAACAUGGGUUGCUG
rnacentral:misc_RNA from 1 species